UAUUUUUGAUUUUCAACUGACAAUUUUUGUUUUUUAUAUUUACACAUAACUAAAACAUUUACUACUAGUUUUCCAACCUACAUUGACCUACUGUAUUUUUGACCUAAUUUUCAACCUAAGUAAUAUUUAAUUAUAAUUAAUAAUAAUUAGUUUAUUUAAUAAAUUUAAUAAUAAUUAAUUUAACCUAGCUCAUUUUAAAUUUUAUAACUAUUUCUAUCUGGUAUGUAUUUUGUAUACUUUGUUGUUUAUUUGAAUAUGAGCCAAAUUUGAUCAACCUUGGUGCAGUGGUUGAAACGCUGUCUUCAUAAUUAGAAGGUUGGAAAACUUAUUAAUUGCUAACUUAAAAAAAAAAGUUUUUGUAUUUUAAAAAAAGUUUUCGUAAUUUAAAAAAACAACGUUAAAAACACCAAUUAGAUAAUCUCAAAGCGAAUAAAAACAAAAAUCUUGCAAAAUAAAUUGGUCAAAAACUAAAACGUCAUAAACUCGUUGAAAAUAAAAAAGUUUAGGCCUCAGUACAUUAUCAGUACUUUUUGUUAGAUGUUCUUUUUGUAGAACAAUUUAGUGGGUUGAAAUUUUUGUAGGUCUAACUAUAUGAUAUUGUUUAUUUGUGUUUACAUGUUUUAACUUGUGUUUCUAGAACACAUUUAGUAUAAGUGUGUUAUUUUGUGUAAGUGUGCUGUUAAUCAAAACAUAAAGCUGCUUUUACUUCUUUGUGUCAAAACAAAUGAUACAAAGAACUGUUUUCUUACAUUGUUUGUGAAUUUAAUAAUAAAGAUUGUAUUAUACAGAAAUGUACUAAUAUUUUUUGUAAUAACUCUUUUUUUUUAUUAGUCAUUGUACCACAAUGUGAAACCAAGAAGCCCGUUCAACUUGUCAAGCGCAUAUGUGUUAAUCAUACUUUAUCGCCACAAAAACUGUGUUAUCUACUUACCUACUUGCCAUACCUUUUUUUAAAUAACAUACAUAAUAAACUAUCAGUUAGAAACAAUUGGCCACAGAAUGUACAAAGCAAUGCCUUGUCAAUAAACUAUUUGCAGUGAUUCACAAUUUUAGGAAGAAAUUUUCAGAAAAUGAAAAAGAG